rnacentral:lncRNA from 1 species
UUCUGCUUCCUUUAAGUCCCACAGAGGAAACAUGGAUCACUCUCUGUUCUCUUCCCCUUAGGCUACUUUAAGGAAAACAACAACAACAACAACAACAACAACAACAACAGCAACAAACAAGGGGCUAUCUUUAUUUAGAAUGACUUAGAUAUAUGAAGUCAACAACUCACUGUGAAAAACUGACUCAUGCUCAAAAGAACAGUAUCUUUUAUUUCCUAUGAUUGUUCCACGGGGAAAAAACCUGCCUUUCCUUGCUGAUGGUGGUGAGGUAACAGCCAAGGAAACUUAAAUUUGCCAUUUGAAGGAGACACAAAAAUAUCUCCUGUGAGUAAAUGAUCUAUAUCAGAAUUGUGGAUUUCUCUCUCCUGCCUUUUCUCAGCCCAGAUGAUGUCUAGAUACAAAAGGAAGCUUUCAGAGAUAGAAGAAGCUGGACUCAGGUCAGAAGGGGUGUCUCUGGAAAAGCAAAGGAGGGGAAAAACAAGACCAACUCUAAGCUGAAGAGGGAUAUACAACUGCAAAGAGUUUGUGCUGUAGAGGUGACAAGACUACACACAGAUUUUUCACUUUACUGAAGUUGAACUGUUGGGGCUACGAUUCUCUGGAUCAGUCCUCCUCUUACCCUCCAUCUAACUCUGGAAAUACUGGAUAUGGGGUUGGCACCUCAAAGCUUCCUUGUCGCUGUCUGGACCAACUCCCUAGAAAGCAUAGCCUAUGGAUGGAAAUGUAUAGCAAGCCCAAAGGCACGAGGCUGCUUCCCACUGGAGCUGUCAAGAGUAUAAAUGGGAGAAACAGGAAGUCUAUACCACAUGGUGAAACUAUCCCAGAAAAUCAAAUGGAUAUAAUCCAUUCCAGCUUCAGCACACAUCAGUUCACAAUGGCAUGUUAGAUAUUUGCUGUAUGGAAUAGCCUUGGGAUCUGAAAUACCUCUUUCUGAAGAAAGAAAAAUUUUUUGAGAAAGAAUAUUAUUAAGAACUCAAACCCAUCAUGUCUUCCACAAUAAAGAAAAGAUGAGCACUGAGAUUUGUGAACA